AAACGACCAUACGACUGACGGAAGUGGAGCAACCACAUGGAGUGUGGCCGGACGUAAACCGCGUCCUCUUGCCGACCGUCUGGGCACACUGA
rnacentral:ncRNA from 10 species